rnacentral:lncRNA from 1 species
GGUGUGCUUGACAUCCACCAAGCAAGAUUGGUAUUUGAAAGUGGAUGCUCAAGACACGUGAAAGGAGACAAGUUUGAGAGUCUUGUCUUUAACAUUAAAUGAAGUUAAAUGAAGAAAGAUUGGUCAACCAAGUUGUAUUGAUGACACAGGAAAAGAGUCAAUGGCAUUUAAUCAGAAAGUUUUUUUUUGUUUAAAUCGAUUGGGUAAUCGAUU